rnacentral:misc_RNA from 1 species
GAUGAAGAACGCAGCGAAAUGCGACAAGUAAUGUGAAUUGCAGAAUUCAGUGAAUCAUCGAAUCUUUGAACGCACAUUGCGCCCUCUGGUAUUCCGGGGGGCAUGCCUGUUCGAGCGUCAUUAUAACCACUCAAGCUCUCGCUUGGUAUUGGGGUUCGCGGUUUCGCGGCCCCUAAAAUCAGUGGCGGUGCCUGUCGGCUCUACGCGUAGUAAUACUCCUCGCGAUUGAGUCCGGUAGGUCUACUUGCCAGCAACCCCUAAUUUUUUUUAAGGUUGACCUCGGAUCAGGUAGGGAUACCCGCUGAACUUAAGCAUAUCAAUAAGCGGAGGA